rnacentral:lncRNA from 1 species
AAAAAUGAAGAAAAAUAACAUAACUGAACUAAAAUCUCAAAUAAAUCUCAAAUCAAUUAAGAAAUUGAUGAGAAUAUUUUUUAUAGAUUCAUCAUCAUUCAAAGAUGUUAAGAAAAUAUUUUUGGCAUUUUUGAAUAUUGGAAACUAUAUUAAAUGAAUUAAAAAUAACCAGAAAAGAGAAAAUUCACAAAAAAUAUCAAAUGGAAUCAUAAAAAUAAAAUCAGAAAUUAAAAAAUAACAAAAAUCCAC